rnacentral:sRNA from 1 species
GCCGGGCAUGGUGGUGCAUGCCUGUAAUCCCAGCUACUCAGGAGGCUGAGGCAGGAGAAUCGCUUGAACCCGGGAGGUGAAGGUUGUGGUGAGCCGAGAUCGCCCCAUUGCACUCCAGCCUGGGUGACAGAGUGAGACUCCGUCUCAA